GAUGAACGCUGGCGGCGUGCUUAGCACAUGCAAGUCGAACGAAGCACCUUGAUUUGAUUCUUCGGAUGAAGAUCUUGGUGACUGAGUGGCGGACGGGUGAGUAACGCGUGGGUAACCUGCCUCAUACAGGGGGAUAACAGUUAGAAAUGACUGCUAAUACCGCAUAAGACCACAGUACCGCAUGGUACAGGGGUAAAAACUCCGGUGGUAUGAGAUGGACACGCGUCUGAUUAGGUAGUUGGUGGGGUAACGGCCUACCAAGCCGACGAUCAGAAGCCGACCUGGGAGGGUGACCGGCCACAUUGGGACUGGGACACGGCCCAAACUCCUACGGGAGGCAGCAGUGGGGAAUAUUGCACAAUGGGGGAAACCCUGAUGCAGCGACGCCACGUGAGCGAUGAAGUAUUUCGGUAUGUAAAGCUCUAUCAGCAGGGAAGAAAAUGACGGUACCUGACUAAGAAGCACCGGCUAAAUACGUGCCAGCCGCCGCCGUAAUAC
rnacentral:rRNA from 1 species